rnacentral:rRNA from 1 species
UACGUAGGGUGCGAGCGUUGUCCGGAAUUAUUGGGCGUAAAGGGCUCGUAGGCGGCCAACUAAGUCAGACGUGAAAUCCCUCGGCUUAACCGGGGAACUGCGUCUGAUACUGGAUGGCUUGAAUCCGGGAGAGGGAUGCGGAAUUCCAGGUGUAGCGGUGAAAUGCGUAGAUAUCUGGAGGAACACCGGUGGCGAAGGCGACAUCCUGGACCGGUAUUGACGCUGAGUGAGCGAAAGCCAGGGGAGCGAACGGG